AACGAACGCUGGCGGCGCGUUUUAAGCAUGCAAGUCGAACGGUAGACCGGUGCUUGCACUGGUUGAGAGUGGCGAACGGGUGAGUAACACGUAGGUGAUCUACCCUGGGGAUGGGGAUAGCCUGUGGAAACACAGGGUAAUACCGGAUAAGCCGGUUUUUCAAACCUUUGAAGAAUUGGGAAAGAUGCUAAGGCAUCGACCUGGGAUGAGCCUGCGGCUCAUUAGCUAGUUGGUGGGGUAAAGGCCUACCAAGGCGACGAUGGGUAGCCGGCCUGAGAGGGUGAACGGCCACACUGGGACUGAGAGACGGCCCAGACUCCUACGGGUGGCAG
rnacentral:rRNA from 1 species